rnacentral:rRNA from 1 species
UACGUAGGGGGCAAGCGUUGUCCGGAAUCAUUGGGCGUAAAGCGCGCGUAGGCGGCCCGGUAAGUCCGCUGUAAAAGUCCAGGGCUCACCCUGGAAAGCCGGUGGAUACUGUCGGGCUAGAGUCCGGAAGAGGCGAGUGGAAUUCCUGGUGUAGCGGUGGAAUGCGCAGAUAUCAGGAGGAACACCGAUGGCGAAGGCAGCUCGCUGGGACGGUACUGACGCUGAGGCGCGAAAGCUAGGGGAGCAAACGGG